rnacentral:rRNA from 1 species
CCUACGGGAGGCAGCAGUGAGGAAUAUUGGUCAAUGGGCGCGAGCCUGAACCAGCCAAGUAGCGUGAAGGAUGACUGCCCUACGGGUUGUAAACUUCUUUUAUAAAGGCAUAAAGUGAGGCACGUGUGCCUUUUUGUAUGUCCUUUAUGAAUAAGGAUCGGCUAACUCCGUGCACGCAGCCGCGGUAAUCCGGAGGAUCCGAGCGUUAUCCGGAUUUAUUGGGUUUAAAGGGAGCGUAGAUGGGUUGUUAAGUCAGUUGUGAACGUUUGGGGCUCAACCGUAAAAUUGCAAUUGAUACUGGCAGGCUUGAGUACAGUUGAGGUAGGCGGAAUUCGUGGUGUAGCGGUGAAAUGCGUAGAUAUCACGAAGAACUCCGAUUGCGAAGGCAGCUUACUAAACUGCAACUGACAUUGAUGCUCGAAAGUGUGGGUAUCAAACAGGAUUAGAUACCCGAGUAGUC